CCAGAUGGAAGAAUGUGAUAUGCACAUUUGGAGUCUGUCUUUCUUGGGGAAGAAAACACAUGCACAAAUCCUGGUGUAAGGAAUAUUUUAAGCAUAUAUCUUCAAUAUCAUUCAUCCAGGACCGAGCAAGACCAACACUCUUCCUCCUCCUCUGCCUACUCAAUGUGAAGACAAUGAGGAUGAACACCUUUAUGAUGCUCCACUUCCACUUAUUGAAUAGUGCUACACAUGAAACUUGUAACCAGUUACUACAGGCGAAAGCAAAUCCAUGUCUUCAGGCUGGUGUCAUCAGGGAGAGAAGCUUUGGUUUCCACAUAAGGAUAUAAGAUCAUUGAUGUAAAACAAGACAUGUAACCUCUCAAAUUGAGAGAAUGGAUUGGAGAGAUAUUGUUGACCAUGUUUUCCCCUGUAUCUCACCUUCCCCUCUCCAAGACUUCCUUGUCAGUUACCCAUAUUGAUAUCAGUUUAUCCACAUCCAUGCUUUCAAGUUUAAACAAAGAAACUAGGCAAAGGCAGCUAUGUAUUCGCUAGGAUUAGGGAGGAGAAGAUAAUGAACCACUGGAUAGUGAGAAGAAAGAGAGGUGGAGAAAGUGAGAGACCCCAGUAACAGAGGACAGGGACACAUUGCUAAGGAUAGGGACACAUUCACUGUAAUAUAGAAGGCCAUGCUUAUAUGUAAAAUAUGCAGUAAUUGUAUAUAUAUGUACAAAAGUGAUGACACACAUAUGCACAUAAACAAAACACAAUUACUGUCUAUGUUUCUUUAUUUGUGACCUAAUGUUUUAUGUUGUUUGUAACUGAAAAAAAAAUUCCCUUCUGAAUAAAAUGUCAAUUUUGCGAUUGCA
rnacentral:lncRNA from 10 species